rnacentral:rRNA from 1 species
AUUGAACGCUGGCGGCAGGCCUAAUACAUGCAAGUCGAGCGGACGAAGGGAGCUUGUUCCUGGCUUCAGUGGCGGACGGGUGAGUAAUGCAUAGGUAUCUGCCCGGUCGUGGGGGCUAACGUCCGGACACGGGCGCUAAUCUCGCAUCCGUUCUGAGGGAGAACGUGGGGGAUCUUUGGUUCACACGGUUUUAGAUGAGCCUAGGUCGGAUUAGCUAGCUGGUGGGGUAAAGGGCUACCAAGGCGACGAUCCGUAACUGGUCUGAGAGGAUGAUCAGUCACACUGGAACUGAGACACGGUCCAGACUCCUACGGGAGGCAGCAGUGGGGAAUAUUGGACAAUGGGCGAAAGCCUGAUGCAGCCAUGCCGCGUGUGUGAAGAAGGUCUUCGGAUUGUAAAGCUCUGUAAGUUGGGAAGAAGAACAGUGUAUUAAAACCUGGCUGUUUUGACGGUACCAACAGAGAAAGCACCGGCUAACUUCGUG